CCCCUAGUAACUGCGAGUGAAGCGGGAAAAGCUCAAAUUUAAAAUCUGGCAGUCUUUGAUUGUCCGAGUUGUAAACUAGAGAAGUGUUAUCCGCGCUGGACCGUGUAAAAGUCUCCUGGAAUGGAGCAUCAUAGAGGGUGAGAAUCCCGUCUUUGACAUGGACUACCAGUGCUUUGUGAUGCGCUCUCAAAGAGUCGAGUUGUUUGGGAAUGCAGCUCAAAAUGGGUGGUAAAUUCCAUCUAAAGCUAAAUAUUGGCGAGAGACCGAUAGCGAACAAGUACCGUGAGGGAAAGAUGAAAAGAACUUUGGAAAGAGAGUUAAACAGUACGUGAAAUUGCUGAAAGGGAAACGCUUGAAGUCAGUCGCGUCGGCCAGGAAUCAACCUUGCUUUUGCUGGGCGUACUUUCUGGUUGACGGGUCAGCAUCAAUUUUGACUGCUGGAAAAAGUUCAAGGGAAUGUGGCAUCUUCGGAUGUGUUAUAGCCCUUGUUCGCAUACAGCAGUUGGGAUUGAGGUACUCAGCAGGGAAAAAA
rnacentral:rRNA from 1 species